GACGAACGCUGGCGGCGUGCUUAACACAUGCAAGUCGAACGGAAAGGCCCUGCUUUUGUGGGUUGCUCGAGUGGCGAACGGGUGUGUAACACGUGAGUAACCUGCCCUUGACUUUGGGAUAACUUCAGUAAACUGGGGCUAAUACCGGAUAGGAGCUCCUGCUGCAUGGUGGGGGUUGUAUAGUUUCGGCGGUUGGGGAUGUACUCGCGGCUUCUCAUCUUGUUGGUGGGGUAGUGGCUUACCAAGGCUUUGACGUGUAUCCGGCCUGAGAGGGUGACCGACAACAUUGGGAAUGAGAUACGGCCCAGACUCCUAAGGGAGGCAGCAGUAGGGAAUAUUGCACAAUGGGCGGAAGCAUGAUGAAGCAACGCCGCGUGAGGGAUGACGGACUUCGGGUUGAAAACAGCUAACGCCUGUGAGGAAGCGUGAGUGACGGUAAUAGGUAAAGAAGCACCGGCUAACUACGUG
rnacentral:rRNA from 1 species